rnacentral:rRNA from 1 species
UACGUAGGGUGCAAGCGUUAAUCGGAAUUACUGGGCGUAAAGCGUGCGCAGGCGGUUUUGCAAGACAGAUGUGAAAUCCCCGGGCUUAACCUGGGAACUGCAUUUGUGACUGCAAGGCUAGAGUGUGUCAGAGGGAGGUGGAAUUCCGCGUGUAGCAGUGAAAUGCGUAGAGAUGUGGAGGAACACCGAUGGCGAAGGCAGCCCCCUGGGCUAACACUGACGCUCAUGCACGAAAGCGUGGGGAGCAAACAGG